rnacentral:rRNA from 1 species
UGCAUAUCAAUAAGCGGAGGAAAAGAAACCAACAGGGAUUGCCUCAGUAGCGGCGAGUGAAGCGGCAAGAGCUCAGAUUUGAAAUCUCACCUAGUGUGCGAGUUGUAAAUUGCAGGUUGGAGUCUCGGGUUAGACGUGUGUGCAAGUCCCUUGGAACAGGGUGCCACUGAGGGUGAGAGCCCCGUAUCGUGCAUGUCGACACCUGUGAGGCCCUUCUGACGAGUCGAGUUGUUUGGGAAUGCAGCUCUAAGUGGGUGGUAAAUUCCAUCUAAGGCUAAAUAUUGGCGAGAGACCGAUAGCGAACAAGUACUGUGAAGGAAAGAUGAAAAGCACUUUGAAAAGAGAGUGAAACAGCACGUGAAAUUGUUGAAAGGGAAGGGUAUUGGGCUCGACAUGGGAUUUACGCAUCGUUGCCUCUCGUGGGCGGCGCUCUGGGUUUUUCCUGGGCCAGCAUCGGUUUUCGUUGCAGGAUAAGGACAAUUGGAAUGUGGCUCCUCGGAGUGUUAUAGCCUUUUGUAGAUGCUGCGUAUGGGGACCGAGGGCUGCGGCGGACUCGUUUCGUCUCGGAUGCUGGCACAACGGCGCAAUACCGCCCGUCUUGACCAACGGAACCA